rnacentral:ncRNA from 1 species
ACAGUACAAACUGAGCAGACCGUGACAUAGUCAUGGAGUCGGGUCACAUGGUGACAGUGGAACAUUUCAGCCCACGGGACAGU